ensembl:snRNA U6 U6 spliceosomal RNA
GUGUUUGUUUUGGCAGCACAUAUACUAAAACUGGAAUGGUACAGAGAAGAUUAGCAUGGCACCUGAGCAAGGACAACACGUAAAUUCAUGAAGUAUUCCAUGUUCUU